CUAGUAUGCACUGAUAGAUUAUUCAAAGUUAAACUGUAAGCCGAAGUUUUAUUCGAGAUGCCAAAUAAUGUAAAGUAUAGCCUACAUUAUCUAUAUCCUUAUGAAUAAUGAUGUAUGUUAAAUACGAAAAGCAUGCGCAGCUUUUAUGAAAACCUGACCACGACCCCAAUGACUUUCGUAGUAUGCAGUGACCUGAUAAGUAAGAAUGUGAAUUGUAGUAGCCUACUUUUAAGGAAGGAAUAUGAGGAAAUAGCCUACUAUAAAAGAAAUGCAGUUCUUACAGAAUUAGCCUACUACUCGAGAGUCAAAAGAUUUCAAAAGAACAGGUCGUCUAUAAACAUGCUAACAUAUAAUAUGCAAUUUAAAAAGAAUUCUUUCAAAAGGCGUUAGACUUCACAGACUUUUUUUUUUUUUUUUUUUUUUUUUUUUUUUUUAGAGUAUCAAAUAUAAAACACAAAAUGUGUUAACAUUUCAUUCAUUCAAUUAUUUUAACACAACCAAUUAGAAUAUAACUCAUGUGUAGCCUGUCAACAACAUAGGCUAACAGUUUCUGGUUUGUUUAGCUGAAAUGAAUAACUUCAAUAGAAUCAGUCAUUCUUUCGGGAAUUGGACUGAAUCGGAUAACAAAAAUGUAUUUCUUUUGAUUCACUAAAAAGACUGGAUCACAAGAGAGUAAUUAUUCAGUAAUCGUACUAUGCUCAUCGCACUGUAUUUUUUUUUGAUUCACUAAUCAUCAUAAACGGAUCGUUCGAGAAUCCGACUAAACUGAUCUUGCGCAUGCGCAGCGCUGUAGAAUAGCCACUGAAUAGUAGUCGACUGAAGGAAAACUUGUCUCCGAAACCUCGCACUUUCAAAACACUGAAUUCAAUGGAGGACUUACUUCUGGAUCAACGAUGAGCGUUCUUCAGACAGAUUAUACGUCUCAUAUUCAAGGGAGAAAUCAUUCCAUUCACAAGCAAUUGGAUGAGAGUCAUACUUGCCCUUGGCAACUAAAGAUGACGUUACUAUGGAAACGACUUGUGGUGCUAUCAAUCAUUGGCUGCCUCGCAGUCUCAUCAGCACACGCAGAAGACACACAGUUUCUUGGUCCAAGCUGGAAAACAGAACCAGAGGACCUGAUACUGCCCAUCCAUUCCGCUGAACAGGAGGCUGUUUUAACCUGUGAGGCAUCUGGAGUCCCUUCCCCUCAGUACAGAUGGUCUCUAAACGGAACGCUCAUUGAUCUUCAUGGUGACGAGAGGCGUCGCCUGUCUGGAGGUAACCUGAUCAUUACUGGCCUGGAUCGAGACCAAGACAGCGGUGUCUACCAAUGCACUGCCUUCAACAACCGGGGAACCAUUCUCAGCCAGAGAGCCACACUACAAUUUGCAUAUCUGGAAAACUUCAAAACACAGACAAGAAGUGCUGUCAAUGUGAGGGAAGGCCAAGGGGUUGUUUUGUUAUGUGGCACACCUUUGCAUUCUGGAGAGCUCAUAUUCACCUGGGUCUUCAACGAGUACCCUCACUUCGUCCAGCAAGACAGCCGGCGCUUUGUGUCCCAGGAGACAGGGAAUCUGUACAUAGCCAAAGUGGAACCAUCUGACGUAGGGAAUUACACCUGCGUGGUUAAUAACACUAUUACCAAGGAGAGGGUGUUUAGUUCGCCGACACCUUUAGUGCUGAGAAACGAUGGAGCGAUGGGAGAGUAUGAGCCCAAAAUAGAGCUUCAUUUCCCAGACACCAUUCCAGCUGCUAAAGGAUCCACGCUGAAGCUAGAAUGCUUCGCCCUGGGAAAUCCAGUUCCUAAGAUCAGCUGGAGAAGAACCAGCGACGUUUCGUUCCCAAACAAAGUCAAACUGAAAAAUUCUAACGCCAUUCUGGAGAUUCCGAGUUUUCAACAAGAGGACACAGGGACGUAUGAGUGCAUAGCAGAAAACAGUCGUGGAAAGAAUGCUGCAAGGGGUCGCGUGUCUUUCCAUGCCACACCUCAUUGGCUGCAAACGAUGGCAGACACAGCAUUGUCCAUCGAGGAGAAUCUGUUUUGGGAGUGCAAAGCCAAUGGGAAACCAAAGCCCUCCUACAGCUGGCUGAAGAACGGAGAAACUCUUAUAUCUGAGGGCCGAGCGCAAAUAGAGAACGGUGCUCUCUCCAUCUCCUCACUAAACCUCUCAGAUGGCGGGAUGUAUCAGUGUGUGGCGGAGAACAAGCACGGCAUCAUUUAUUCCAGCGCCGAACUGAUGGUGCUUGCCUCUGCUCCCAGCUUCUCCCAGAAUCCUUUGAGCCGAGUGCUUAAGGCUCGCUCGAGUAGUGACGUUAGCCUAGAUUGCAGGCCGCAUGCUUCACCCAGAGCCAUUAGCCUGUGGAAAAAAGGGACUGAGAUACUGCAAAGAACCGAAAGGAUUUCCCUCUUCCCCAAUGGAACUCUCAAGAUUGCCAACGUAACCAAGCGAGAUGGAGGUAGUUACACGUGCAUCGCUAAAAAUCAGUUUGGCACAGCUAGCACAACAGGACGACUGAUAAUCACAGAGCCCACAAGGAUCAGCCAGGGCCCCAGCAGCACGGAAAUCACUGUGGGGGAGAGCAUCGUGCUGCCCUGCCAGGUGACUGCCGAUCCAGCCUUGGACGUGGCCUUCUCCUGGGCCUUCAACGGUCAGCCCAUCGAUUUCCAUCAAGACGUGGACCACUUCGAGCGAGUAGGAGGGAGCUUUUCUGGUGAUCUCAUGAUUAGAAACAUCCAGCUUAAUCACGGUGGGAAAUACGUUUGCCUUGUUGACACAGACGUCGAGAGCUUGUCUGCUGAUGCAAUAUUAGUCGUUAAAGGUCCCCCCAGCCCCCCAGACUUGGUUGUGGUGGAGGAGGUCACAGACAGCACGGCCCAGCUGUCCUGGAGCCCAGGCCAGGACAACGGAAGUCCCAUUACAGGAUAUGUCAUCCAGGGCAGGACUCCCUUUACUGUCGGCUGGCAAGCUGUCGACACAGUUCCUGAGGUGAUCAAUGGGAACACUUUGACUGCAACCGUUGUGGGUUUGAACGCCUGGGUGGAAUAUGAGUUCAGAGUGCUGGCCAGUAACAGUGUCGGGAUGGGAGAGCCCAGUCCCCCAUCCACCAAGAUCAGAACUGAAGAUGCAAUGCCUGACACAGCUCCCACUGAUGUCGGAGGCGGAGGAGGUACCAAAUCGGAAUUAGUGAUAACAUGGGAGCCUGUUCCAGAGGAGUUGCAGAACGGAGAAGGUUUCGGUUAUAUCAUUGCUUUCCGGCCAGUGGGCAUGGUCACUUGGACCCGCGCCGUGAUCUCGGCACCCAGCGUCACCCGCUACGUUUUCCGCAAUGACACCAUUCCACCAUUCUCGCCAUUCAAUGUCAAAGUGGGAGCGUUCAACAACCGCGGAGAAGGACCUUUCAGCACUAUUGCAACAGUGUUCUCUGCCGAGGAAGGUAAAGCUGUAUUUGUGUACAUUAACACUCACAGUCACAAACACAUGUGCAUAGAAUAACUUCAUUUUUAACCAUAUUUUUACAGAUUUGAAGUAAUAAAAACAACUGGUAUUUACUUGUAUUUACUGGUAUGUGAUGGCCAAUAUUAUAAUUAUUUUAACAUAUAAAAUAAUUAAAAAAUAUUAAAAUUAUUAUUUUUCCAACCUCUUUUACAGACAAUAGUGUUCUCAUUACAUAGAAUGUAAUUAAAGGGGAGCUAUUAUACUCCUUUUUACAAGAUUUAAUAUUAGUCUCAAGUGUCCCCAGAACGUGUCUGUGAAGUUUCAGCACAGAUCAUUUAUUAUACCAUGAUGUAAAUGCCCAUUUUUGAGUGGAAGGAAAAACAAGCUGUUUUCAUGCAUGUAAAUGCAAAUGAGCUGCUGCUCCCCAUCCCGCUUUCCAGAAAAGGGCGGAGCCUGUACAACUCGUGCCUCAGAUACUCUGCUGUUUGGUUUUGAUUAUCAUCUUUAUUACAGCCACGCUUACGUGAAAUUCUUUGUCAUCAUGAAAGUUAAUUAUCUGCAUGCACUUAAACAGUUUAAACUUCUGAUAUAUGGUUUUCUGAGCAUACACAUCCGAAAGCUGUCAGAUGGCGCUGACUGAUUUCUCUUACACGUUUUAUUGCACUUAAACUGUCAAAUGCUCACAAGGUUAUGUCAAAAACACACAAAGUUCACAAACACUGUUGGUUAUGUCUGUGAACAGCAGGGAAAGAAAUUGCAUUUGAUAUUACAGUAGAUCUGUGUAUUAAAGUGACAACAUGCAGCAGCAUAAUAUAUAUUAGGCUAUCUACUGCUCGAUUGGCUGUUAAUAUGAACCAAACAACAAAAGGAACAGAAAAUCACUUAGCUCAGAUCGUCACCAGUCAUGGGCGGGGCUUCCUCCUACUGUUAUGUAAGAGUAGGGGGAAAUCUGGAACGGCUCAUUUGAAGAGACUGUUUAUGAUUUAUGGGGAUUAUAAAAAAAGAAGUGGGUGGAUUUUUAUCAUUAUAGGCUGGUUGUUUAUACACGCUGUGUUAAAAGAAUAACAAAAAAGUAUUUAUGAAAAAAUUGCCUACCCUACCUUUAAGAGAGGAAGUGUGCUACUUUCAUUUUACCAUUAUUAAAAUUGAAAAUAGUAAUAUUUAUUAUAGAAAAUAAUAGCAAAAUAGUACAAUUAGCCCAAAUUACCAAUCCUACGUAUCAGCCUCAUAGCAUAUGCGCUGAUGUUAUCUGUUUUCAAUACUGGCCUAAUCACCCAGAAAUGGUAACAUAGGCCAGUCAGCGAUACAUUGUGUGGGCCUGUGGAGCUAAAAUAUUAGGAACACAUUCCGACUCAGCAGUAGUCCCUUCACGUUCUCGAACACUCUCGGUUCCCUCCCUUCGCGCAUACAGGUGUGACCUUGAAUGAGAAUGAUGGAAUAAGUUGAUUGAGACAGCUUUCGCCCCUCCUCCCUCGUUCAAGCUGCGAAUGACAACCUUAUAUUAGUUAUUGCUGCUAUAGGUUACAACAAAUCCUGCUAGACACUUACAGGCCUAUUCAUGUGCUAGUGUGUUAAUUGAAUUUUCCCAGCAGAUUGUCUCCUUCUCUGUCAGUCACAGUUCCCAUUAAAAUGAAGUAGGGCCCCUCUCAGUGCCGAGCGUAGCGCCAGAGAGAGUGUCAGCAAAAAGUCUGUCGGCGGCCGACAUCGAAGUUACCUGGGAGCCGAUUCCGUCCACCCCUGAAAGAGUUCUCGGAUAUGAGGU